rnacentral:lncRNA from 1 species
CAUAAAUGAAGGUUUGUCCUUCAUUUCUCGACAAAUAUCUUUAUAUAUCUAGAAUCUCCAAAGUGACACAUAUCUUUUGUGUGCUAAUCAGAUGACUGGUGGCUGGAGUUUCCUCCUUAGCCUCAGGAUGGGGGCUGUUUGCCAGGGGCACAAACCUUGCAAUUAGAAGGUUGGAGCUUACAGUACCUCCACCUAACCUAGGGGAGGGGAAAAGGGCUGAGGGUUGAAUUGAUAAACCAAUAGUUAAUGAUUUGAUCAAUCAGCUUACUUAAUGAGAUGUCCUUGAAAAAAAAAAAGAGGAAAGAACUGAGUUCUGAGGGCUUUCUGAUAGCUGAACAAUGGAGGUCCCAGAAGGUGAUAUUUCUAGAGAUGGCAUGGAAGCUCUAGGCCCCUUCUCCCAUAUCUUGCCUUAGGCAUCACUUCCCUCUGUUUAUCUGUUUCCUUUUUACUAUCCCUAAUAAUAAACCCAUAAAUGAAAGUAUGUUCCCCUAUCAUAGGCAAGUAGAUUGCCACACUGGCAAAUAGAUUGGACCCAAGGAGAGUACCAUGGGAACCCUGAUUUGCAACUAGUUGGUCAGAAAAACAGGCCAUAAUCUAUGCUUAU